GCUGUUUGCAGUGGUGCAUGGCGGUAGGAUCAGAGAUGGCAGCCAGAGGCUGAAAGAAGAGCAGCUCAGGCUGGGCACAAGGACCUGGCAGGACAAGGCCCUGAGCAGCUCAGUCCGGCCUCAGCGCCGACCCCGUUUGGAGCCAGAGGGGGGACCGAGGCCCUCCUCAGCCACUCCCAGCCCUUGACGCUGUGACCCCACUUCUCUGCAGGCGCCCCCUGACAGCAGUCCCUGCGCAGCCCCCGGGCCGGGGCAGCCGGGCCGCGGGAGCGGCCGCCGGAGCCACCAGGGGGACCCCGCGCCUCAGCCGGCCGUGCCGCCGCCGCAGCUUCUGGAUUUAUAGGAUAAAAUUGACGCGGAAUUCAAAUAAAACUGAUGUGGAAACCAAA